GAGCAAAUCCACGUGCCUGUCUACCACCCGACGCCCAGCCAGGCCCGACUGGCCACCCAGCUGACCGAGGAGGAGCAGGUCCGCAUCGCACAGCGGAUCGGCCUCAUCCAGCACCUCCCGAAGGGCGUGUACGACCCGGGGCGGGACGGCUCUGAGAAGAAGAUCAGAGAGUGCGUCAUCUGCAUGAUGGACUUUGUGUACAGAGACCCCAUCCGCUUCCUGCCCUGCAUGCACAUCUACCACAUGGACUGUAUCGACGACUGGCUGAUGAGAUCCUUCACCUGCCCCUCCUGCAUGGAGCCUGUGGACGCCGCGUUGCUCUCCUCCUACGAGACCAACUGACACACACACACAUAGAUAUUAUAUAUAUAUAUAUAUACAUGCCCAUAGGCACCUGGAAACCAGAAUGGACUCUCAGACAUAUAAUAUGCACACACACACAGACACACUUUCAUCUUGCUCACCUGUGUCCUGUAUUAGAAAAGCGUUGAUGUAUAUAGUGAACAGCGGAUGAAUUUAGGAUGAACCUGUGUGUGUUUGUGUGAGCAGGAAUGCCUUUUGUGUACGUGUGUACUGCACAAAAGUCCUCCGUUGGCCUGCUGGACAGGUUUGAUUUAACGUGGACUGAAUAAACGGAGCAGACCGAGCAGCAUGUCGGAAUGGGACCGGUGGGUGUAAUGAGAAGUCAAAGGGGAAAGCAUGACGGUCAGCUGACAUGAUUAAAAUAUCCAAGAGCUUUCAUAUGCGUUCCAGUAGAAAGGCUUCCUUUUAAUCAUUAAUCCGUCAUUGCUACAAACAAUGGACUGCCCGCAACCUUCUGGAAAUAAACGUCCGGUUAUGCCGCCUCCUUCUUGCAGAUUCAUACCGGCUGCAGAAACUGCUACAGGUGUGCGAUUCAAAGGAGGUCCGGGAUGGACAACAGACUCGAUACUGCAAAUGUCACACAUGUACACGUGGUGCACAAACUCACCACAGGCCUGUACUGGUUUGGCUCCCCUGUUGUCGACCAAAUCACGUAUUUCGGGCCACUUUGUGCGGGCCACUUCUAAUUGGUUACAAAGCCCGCGCAUUCACACGCCCAUUUCCGCACAUCGGCACGUUCAUCAUGAACUCAGCACAGUCGAGGCCUUUGUCUUAAUGGUGGACCUCACUCCAAAUUGUCUGUCGCCCAAGUAACCCAGUUUACUGUAAAAGCACACUUUCAUUCUCCCUGUUGACAUUGGUGAGUGGGCGAGACUCAACUAUGCAGGAAUUAUAUCCCUCCUCCCCCACAGGGCAUGUGAUAGAGAUCUAAUAGACUUUGUCACGGUGCAUUCCUACCGCGAUUUGUGUUUGUGGAUUACGCACCUUAGUCUUUGAACAGUACUUUAACCGGCCUGCGGCUUUACGAUGUCCCCCAUCAAACGCGAGUACGCGAUGGCAUCCGCUGCUAACAGAAAGCCGCCUUCAUUAUCCAUCGUCUGCAAAAAAAAAGAUGCAGUUCUCCAAAAAUGAUUCUUAAUCGCGAGGAAUUAGUGCUUUGGUUCUGACGCAUUAAAAAUGUCCACACCAGGAGUGAAAAGUGAGUGCUGUUUUUUGGUGUUUUCUGCUUGAACAUGGAGGUUUCCUCCGACGUGUUGUGUGUUUGCAUAUGGAUGCUUGUUAGACAUUUCCUUGUUUGUGCAUAUGCUGUACUUUGGCAAACAAUAAAUAGAGUUGCAGAACUGCCACGGGGUGUGGUUUUAUUUCCUCUGUGCGCAGAAAAAAGGGAAGCGAGUGGUUUCCUUUUUGUAUCACAUACUAGUCACAUACUACCAAGGCUUCAUUGAUAAAUAUGUAAUUUAUCUCUCUAAAUAAUCCAUCCAUCCAUCCAUUGUCAAACCGCUUAUCCUGCACACAGGGUCGCGGGGGGGCUGGAGUCCCCCGAUAGACGAUAGGGCGAUAGACAGGGUACAUCUCUAAAUAAUUAUCAGUUUAAUUAUGUUGUAAUUGUAAUAAAAGCAUUCAUGUCACUAUAACAAUGUCCACUUCAGGCCUCUUAAAAAACACACACACACACAAAAAAACAAGAACAAACAGGGAUUCAUGACUUUUAUUGUCUCAUAUGCCCUAGGCAAGGGAAUAAUGGGUUUUAUCUUCAUCCUCCCCGUCCUCCCGUCCUUUAGUCUGUGGGAGAGAAAAAAAUAGAUUUUAUAUUACAAAUUCAUCCUUGUGAAAACAUCAACACCAAUCGUAAAUAAUGGAACAAUACACCAGCGUCUGCCAUAGCACACAGAUAAAUAAAUCUAUUAAACUGGUAUGAUUCGGCAUUUUAAAGACAGUUCCAAACUUGUGGUUGACGACUAAAUUGGUCCAGGUGUGACUCACAGCUUCAGCUCCUGGGAACAAAUCGUCUCACCGCAUGGGCGACGCUGAAUGAAAAGUUCAUGAGGUGGAGGCCUUUUACAGUUUUUUUUCGAUUGCUAAACAACAGUGGGCACAUCUGGAGUCACAUGUGCAAAACUCUUAACUA
ensembl:lncRNA